CAGAAGACUGAUCACCCUUCAGCUGCCCGACAUCCAGCCUGAAGAAUAUGUUUGGAAUUAAGCAGGGAUCUUGGUUGAAAAGAACAUCAGAGCCCUGAGUCACCAUUUAAGAAGUCCGACUACCCUGCUGAAGAGAUCACAUGGAGGGGCUCUGAGACUACAGCCUGAGAGCUGUUCCCACCAAGGUGUCAGGCUUGUGACUGAAGCCAUCUUGGAUGUUCCAGACUGGCCCAGGCCUCCAGACCUGGGCUGAAUUACAUCACCAGCUUUCCUGAUUCUUCAGCUUGCAGAUGGCAGAUUAGGGAACUUCUCAGUCUCCAUAAUCAUGUCAGCUGGGGCUCUGCUCUGCAUCUUCCUCCCUCUGGAACCCUAGCUGAGUGAGUGGUCACUAUCUGGAACAUUGCUGGCCAUUGUGACAGAGGGGGCACUGAGCUCUGGAGGGUUUCACACAGCAGGUCCUAAAACCUAGGAAGACUUUUCUGACCUUCCCCUGAAGCAGGCCUAAGACCCUCCUGUGAGAGACCAGGCUGGGCGAUAC
rnacentral:lncRNA from 1 species